AUGUGGUCAUCCUCCUCCUCCUCGCAACCGCCCUCCUCCUCUUCCUCAUCAUCAUCCUUCGGCUCCCACUGGAUCCCCUCCUUCUCCUGUAUGAAGGAACCAGGGUGGAUGCACCUUGGGCGGGAUCCCCUUCCACAGGACAGACAGCAGACAAGGGUGGUUGAGAGAGCACAAGGUUGGGAGAGGCUGGAACUGAGGAUGCCCUUCCCCCAUUAUCUGCACCACCGCCAUCAUUAAAAAGGCUCCGCCCCAUCAUGAAAAAGGCCCCGCCUCCCAUCAUGAAAAAAGCCCCACCUCCCAUUAUAGAAAAGGCCCCGCCUCACAUUAUGAAAAAAGUCCCGCCUCACAGCAUGAAAAAGGCCCCGCCCCCAUCCUGGAAAAGGACCCACCUCCCAUCAUGAAAAAGGUCCCCAUAAGGAAAAGGCCCCGCCCCCCGAGAAGCCCUACUCCUCUUCUUCUUGCGCCUCCUCUUAUUCUUCUUGCCCAGAGCUGCAGAGCACUCAGAACGCACAGAAGAGCUGUGGAUGCUGGCAUUGUCCAAAUCUGAGUCCUCCGGUUCAUCCUCCUCGCUCUGCAGAGAAGGAGGUCGGGCUGUGAGUCGGGACCCGCCCUGGUGAUUUGGAGCUGCGGGGACAAGUGACAGCUGCUUAGCUGGACUGAGAAGCUGAGACCUGGGGCUAGAGGAGGAAGUGUGGCUCCAGCCAGCCUGGUCAAACAGGCCACCCUCCAGCAUUGCCACUACUGCCACCCUCGGAGCACAGCUGGGUAUAGACCCCAUGGUGGGCCAGCUGAUUGCCUGCUGUAUGGAGCCACUGUGGGCAGGAGCCACAGCCAAGCUCCUAGGUCUGGCCAGAGGCUAGGCUAGAUGGGUCCUUGGAAGGAUCCCAUAAAUGGGGAAACUGAGGUCCAGUAGGCCUGUAUGUACAGAGGCUGGGACAGGUGUGUAAAGCCUGCCUCAGUUAGCUGGAGGAAAAUGAAUGUGACCCUCCCCUCACCACCUUGCACACACAAGCACAGUCACUGAGGAACUCUUCUCUCCCCCCCACACAUAUUCACACAUGCACACGCGUGCACACACAUAUGCGUGUACAUUUGCACACACAUGCGCACACAUAGACACUCACUGAGGAAUGCUCUACCCCCACACACAAACACACAUAUGCACACACAUACACAUGCACACACAGAGACACACACACACACACACACUCACCGAGGAACCCUUCUUCCUCUUGCUGAUCCCUCCGAAGCGGAACUUGAGCCCUGCCACUCUCUUGCCCCUGCCCUUUUUCUUGGAAUCUUUGGCGCCUUUGUUCUUCUUCCUCACUCCGGGCCCUGGACAUUGUGACAAGGGUUGCCGUGACCAACAUUGCCACUACUGCCACUGAUGGCCCACUCCUCCCUGGCCACCUCACUGAGCCUCCAGGCCUGCCCAUAAGGAACUGGCCACGUGCACCGUCACCCUUUCCAGACGAGAAGGCUGAGGGCCUGAAAGGGGGCAUUCUUGCUUAGGUUACUUUAAUGAGACAGACACACCUGUCAAGUCUGUCUGUCUUGGCCACCAUGCUGGCCAGACUGUGGAAUAGCCAGAGGAGUCAUGGACACUUACAAGUGCCUACCAACUUGGGAACGGCCUCUACCCAGUCUCACCAACCUUGACUUCCAUACCAGCAGGGCCAGCUUCUAAAACCCCACCCACCUCCCAAAUCAUGGUAUUUCUUAUGGCUACCACUCCCAACUUUCCUAUCACCCUGGGCUACAAGGCUGGAAUCCGUGACUGUACCACAAACAGCACAGUGAUUGAUGUGCCAUCUAGGGAAUGAUGUCCCUGUCCCCACCCUAGCAGCCCACCCUGCUGCCAGAGCAAAUCAUGGUGCCUGACGGUAGGAUCCACACCCUGGCCACUCCUCCUCUGGCUAUACCCCAUGGGGAUGGGGACCCAGCUGCACUCAGGGCAUGCCACAGAAAAGCUAUUUCAAUCUUUUGAGCUCAUGGAGUCAAAGUUCUGCACUGGCUCCGGGCAGGGGAAUUAAGGACUAUGGAAGACAGGUGGACAGGACACAGAGACAGAGUGAGAGCGGACGGAGCACCUGGCCUAUGGCACGCACCCCCUUACCAGGCACUCCUGGAGACAUGAAAAGGGGGUGCCAGGCACAAUACUGAGCGUUGUCCCAGACACUCUGUGGGCUGACACAGGGGACCCAUCAACCCUCUCAACCCAUCAAGUCCCACAUCUGAGCACUAUAAAGACAUAGUGGUGGGAGCCUAUCAGUGUCGCCAGCCUCUCAGAAGCCAGAACUUCUAUCCAGGUUGCAGACUGUCCCUCCUAAGCAGAAAGCCCUGCUUGCCCUCCCCACACAGUCCCAUCUGCCCUGGGUCAGGCGGGACUAUGUCUCCUCGCUGUCCUUCCAGACCUGGUCACGCUCACUUCUGUGAGGUCCCUCUGCAGGGAUUUGACACGGAGUAGCCCUGAUACAGGAGGUGCUCAUAGGAGAGGGUCAGCCUGCCUUAAACACAAGGCAAAGUCCAGAGCUGGAAUAGCUCCAUCCUAUGGGCUCCCACCAAAAAUCCACCCACUGAUCCUCUGCUUCCCCAUCCUCCCCAAGAGGAGACAGGAGAAGCUGUGAAAAGGGAAGUCAGCCUGAGGCCAGGUAAAACACUGAGUCCUCAAUACAGAGCCACCAGACAGGGCCAGUGCCCAGUCAACCACAGCCUUACCCUUGCCCUCUUUGGUCUUGGCCUUGCGUACGGGCAGAGGCUGGGGCACUUGCUGGGGACUGAUGGCCAGUGGAGGAGCGAUGGUCACCGUCUCCACGGCCGCAGCCACGGCCGCCGCAGCUGCCGCCGCCGAGCUGCCCUUGAAUGGGUUGUUGGCGCUGAAUUCUCGCCACUUGGCCCCCAGGACAGUCAUCAUUUUGGACAUGGGGAUCUUCGGGUUCUUCUUAGCAAUAAGAGGCCUGUGGGAAAAAGACAGGAAGGUGAGGGGGGACCACCCUUUCUGUCACGCCUGUGAUGUGUGGCUAGCCCAGUAGUCCUAGCUAACCCAGCAGCCCAGUAGGGGCAGGGAAAGGAUAAAGUGACUACUCCUGACUCAUGGAGUAUUUCCAUUGAGGCAGGCUACACAGAAGGACCCAGGACAGGGUCUGGGAGGGAGGGAGGCCCAGCCAUCUGCUGUACUAAAAUGAAGGAGUCCUGACCCCAAGCUCUUCCCAGGUCAGGGGUUACUCUGAUAGCCCUCUCCCUCCACCUCCCCUCAGGUAAACACAACCCUCAUGGUCACCCAGCCACAGCAGCCAGGCCCUGGCCCACCGGAGGAACUGGCUGAAGGCCUUGUAGUUGGUCAGCGUGUGGUAGUCAUCCUCAGAAAAUAGGUGCCCAGGACCUGUGACUGUUAUGGGGCCACCCAGACACCUUCCCCUCCCCCUGUAUCCUACCUCUUCCAGACUGCUCCAAGCAAGAGGUUCCCAACACCAAACUUGAGUUCACGCCAUCUAUCAUUCUCUCCAGAAACAGCCGCACGCUCAGAUCCUCCUCAUUUUCUGACAGCUCAUCAUUGCUCCCCUGGAGAAGGAAGGGGAAGACGGUGAGGGUGUCAGACACCCCAGAAUGCCAGAGACCUGGGGCGGCCACCGACCUUCUGAGAUCAGGUGAGCUACUGUGGAACCAGACUUCCCCAGUGUCAGCUUCUAUUUGGGUCAGAGUGGAUUUGGGGAGCAUGAUGGCACUGCACCCCAGGAACUCCUGGUAGAGGCCAUGAUGACCAAAGCCAAAAGCCCAAGAAAAGUUGCCAACAGGAGCUGACUUGUCCACCCUACACCCAUCAGCCCAUGGAUGGAUCGGGUGCACAGGGAGGCAGCCACGGUACAAGCCUGUCUCCAGGAUGGCCACUCCACCUCGACCGUAGAAAACGGUAUAUUAGGCAGCUCUUAAGAUUGACUGGGUUGUGUUUCCUGUGUGUACGGGCAGAAAAUGGCCCAUUUAUAUGGAGAUGAGGGUGUUUACAGUCAUAGCAUACCCACCAGCAAGAUAUUGUCCCUGGAAGGAAAUGAUUUGCCCAGUUUGGAGGUAAAUGAACAGCAGAGCCCUGUCCUCUUCUACAGGGGUGAGCAGGGACAGGCUGGCACUGUCGCUACGAUCACCAGCUCAGGACUCGUCACCCUUGUGAUUGAUGAGAUAUUUUUCAUGGAGAGAGCCAGGAAUAUGAAAACUGAGCUAUGAAAGACAGCUGGGGAGAGGGAGGGAGGAAAGAGCAGGAGAGGAAGGAGAUGAUGAGGGGCGACGGCGACAGGGCCUGCUGGACAAUCUUGGAGGAUCCUAGCCAUUCCCUUGCUUGUCCCAGUAGAGAAUUUCCAGUUAGGCGCAUCCCAUCAAUUAGCUGAGGUUGGGCAUGUCACUGAAGGGUCCUCUCCCUGCUGUCCAGCUGGGAAGACCCCAUCCACAGGCUCUCCUGGAAGCUCAGCUCAGUCUCCCUCAGAGAAGACGGAACCUGUCACCUGCUAUUCGAUCACCGAGUCAGCACGCUGGCAAGCCCUUCUUGCUUCCUCAGAAUACUGACUCUGCCCUGGACCCAAGGGGGCAACUCCCAGCUCCGACACCUGUCAAUAGCAUGAAACCCUGUAGCCACAGUUCCCAGGCUCUGGCAUAAAAAAAAAGUGGAAUUCAGAUGGGGACAUUCCCUUCCCCCAAGGAGACAGAGACCAUGUCCAAGAGAUCUGAGAGCCCCAAUUCCCACCCCCAAAAGAAGCAAAGGUGAAAGACAGCACGACAGCGCCAUAUGUUUCAGCACCAUAGACAGCAGCUGCAACCUGCCCUUGAGAGGGAAAUCCACGGACUCCACCAGAGUUGGAACCAAAAGACCCAGGGAGGUGAAUCCUUGAAAGGCCUGCCCAUGGGCUCUUGCUAGCUUGGGACAUGUUCAAGUCAUAUAAAUGCCCUUGAUCUGCACCGUGGUGAGAUAAAUCAGGGAGAUUGUGCACGCAGAGGCGCCGGCGUGGACAGCCAUGCUCGCAGACUGGGGUAACUUGGGAGAGCCAGUUGGCAAGGAACUUAGACUGGACAAGUCUGCAUUCGGAACCACAGACGCCCUUUACUCUAGAUACAAGUGGACCACGCCCAAGCAAAGGAAACACCCUCAAAUGCUGACAUUUUUUCCUCUGGGUCAGGACCAAAAAGCCAGCCACAUGGGAAGUGGGCAGACAAGUGUUGCCUAGUAGCUAGUCAGAGCAUCUACUGGGAAGAGGACACUGCCAUACCCAGGGUUCAGGGGAAGCCAGAAGUGGCCAGCACAGCUUAGAGCCAGAGGAGACAGAAAGAAGAGGGCAGGAGGGAAGCACGCCUCCAGCUGACCGAGUGCAGAGCAGUGAUAGGGGCAGGGCUUGCUAAAGCUGAAAGCCCUGAGCAGGACUCAGCCAAGGUACACACCAGAGCCAGGUAGGAGUGCAGAGGGCUGAGCUGGAGACCGGCAGGGUGGGUCUCAAGCUAGAAGCCCCUUUCCUCUAUCCAUCCCCCAAAGCACAGGCAAGAUGUCCACCUUGCCUGUUCCACCCAUGGGGAGAGAAAACUCUCUGAAGCCCCAGGCCCCAAGCCCCAAGGCUCCUCCCUCUCCCCUGCCCUGCCUCUUCCCAGCUAUGCCUGAAUGCCACAGUGGAGUACAGGGUGAGCCUGUCUCCCAGCAGAACCUGUACCAGCUGUUCCCACACUUCCUCUGCUGGGCCUCCUUCUCUGCCUGGCACACAUCAUAAAAACAUCUUGCCUCGCAGAGAACCAGUAAACCUCUAACAAUGUUCACCAGUCAACCUCUCUCCUGAGGUCUGAGAACAACCAAAGCACACACAGGCUGUGGAAACCAGGAUUACAGAUGGGCCUUUGACCUUGGCACCAUCCUUCAUGGGUGUGACUGUUAAGGUCCAACCCUGGGUGUCACUGUUAAUUGGAGCACUAGUGGCUGUGAGGACCUCAGGGGACACACAGAUGCCACACCCGAAUUGGGGGCAAACAGGGGUCUGUCUGCUGAGCGCCCUUUUUCCUGUUCACCAGUUAUGACUGGUGGGGACCCCAAGCAGCGAGUCCAACACAACCCCUUCUCCCUCCCCGAUCUACAAUUUCUGAAUCUAGGCCUCCUGUCUGGCUCCCCACCCCCUUUCUAUGCCCAUCACCCACAUCACAUCUCCUGAAAAAGAGAAUAAUAGUAUUUAGAGUCAAAGGAAGAACUCAGGGAGUUGGUCAUUCUCAGACUUGGGGUCCUUCAAGACCGAGAAGGGAAAAAAAAAAAAGAAUGAAAGCUGAGCCUCCCAUUCACCAGUGUUAUAAACAGUUAUAAUUUAGCACUGAAUAAUUGGUUGCUAUGGCAACCGCUGCAGUACAGGUUGAAAUCAGUUCUCCCUCCUGCGCUCCGGGUCUGACAGGGAGCUUCAUCUACAUAUGCUCAGGUUCCGGCUGCAGUCCUGUUAUUUUAUGUAAAUCAGAAGCCAGGGCUUGCUGCUUGCCCGUGCGCUCCCCCCACCCCACCCCACCCACACCCCAGCCCAAACCACUGCCUUACUGCCCACCUGCGCGAGUCACCUGGUGGGGGAUGCAGCGGUGGGGUCGGGGGAGGAAGGAGAUUCCCGCACCCAGGAUCCAGGGCUGCUGGGUUGGGUGGGUGGGUAGACGGAUCUUCCUCUUUGUAACUAGCGUGCUAUAGACCGCCACCCCCACCCCCCAGAUCCUGCAGCUGGUGAGAGAGCGAGAGCCAAGCAGAAGGAUGGGAUGAGAUGGGAAAGGAGAGGAAAGCACCCAGGCCUAAGGGUCACCUCUGGUGCUCUUCCUCUGGAAACCAUGUCUACCCUUAUGUCCCACCCUUUUAAAGCAGCAGCAUUGCAUCUUAAGGAGCGACGAGAGGAGAGAACGAAAGAGAGGAGGGAGGAGUGGGAGUGGAAAAAUGAAAUGGAAAGAGAGACAGACAGACAGAUUAAUAUGGCAGAGAAAAACACAGACUGGGGGGUUGGGGAUUUAGCUCAGUGGUAGAGCACUUGCCUAGGAAGCGCAAGGCCCUGGGUUCGGUCCCCAGCUCCGAAAAAAAGGAACCAAAAAAAAAAAAGGAGGAAUAGCCAGUGUGUGCAACUGAAGAGCAAACAGGUACAGAAAAAGCCAACCAUGUCCUCAGGACAUGGCUGUACCUUCCUUGGCCUUGGAGGCCACCAUACCCCAGCCCCACGGCCCCUCCCCAUCUCCAGCCCCCUUCCUACCAGAGCCAUGGCAACCCCAUGCCCAAGAAGGAGGCAGAAAAAAAAAAGCCCUGCUCAGAAGGGAACCCAUGGUCCCAGCCAUGGCUUGCCAUUUGAGAACAAGUUGGGGAGGCCCCUUGGAAUCCAGAACCUAAAUCUGCAGGCCCGGGGGGCAUCAUCAGUAGGAGGCAGCAGCUGUAGUAAAAGAUUCUGGGGCCGUGUGUCAAGCACCUCCUCCAAUGGGGGGUUCUCCAUGCAGAGCCUGCUCCCACACCCUGCCUCCACUUCCUCAUCUGGAUAACGGGGACAGAGAGCUUCGUGACUCCUUGGAGGAGGCCUUAGAUUAGAAAAGUCAAAGCUCCUUCCUUCCUUCCUCCAGGCUGGAGACAGCUACAGGCUUGCCUGUGGUAAGGCGUGGGGCGUUCUGGGAGGAGACAAACACAUCAAUCCUAGACAUAAUACCAGACUACAGACAGCCUUCACACAGGGGUAGAGUAAGCUGAGGAGUCAAAGGAACUCCAGGAGAACGAAGGGUGGUACACGCACACACACACAAACACAUAUACAGACAUAAACACACGCACACACAUACACAUGUAUACACACACACCAAGAUAUAAAGGGGGCUGGGGAUUUAGCUCAGUGGUAGAGCGCUUACCUAGGAAGCGCAAGGCCCUGGGUUCGGUCCCCAGCUCCGAAAAAAAGAACCAAAAAAAAAAAAAAAAGAUAUAAAGCAAGGAAGGAAGUGGAGUGGGCUUAAAGAGGACCCUGAGGAACUUGGUCCUUCCUCAGGGUCCUUGCCAUGCAUUGCUAAGACUGCUCACACCCCUGGAUAAGACAGAAACAAGAGGAGAAAGCACACAGGCUUUGGAUCCCUCAGAUGUCCUUGAUCUUCCCCAUGGUGGUCCCUCACUAGGUCCACAUCUGACAUGUUCCCAACACAAGAAGAGGACAGAGUCGGGACCCGAGUGGGCAGUGGCUCCCACUGCAUCAUUUUCCCUGUCUCUACAUUCUGGAGCCCCAGGGAAAACCAGCUCAAAGCCUUGCAGUGACUCGGGUUUACUGAGGGACGAGCACGAGGCCAUCAUUGUCUUCGGUGGACCUCUGAGCAACUAAGGAAAAGUAUAUAGCCCACCCUCUAGAUGCUGGGAUAAGUUAUAUGCCUGCCUCAGUUACCCUACACUAUCCAUUGGUGAACCCAGAGAUGAAGUGCGUCAGAACCAGGCACACAGUAAGCAUGCCACCUCUCCUCCUCAGCCUUGAGUCCCAACUGCUUCUGUCAGAACCAGGAAGUAAAGAACAGCAGCAUUUAACAUCACCAAGCGUGAGCACGACCCUUACACACAGCUCCUCUCAACGGAGCCUCCCCAAGGAGACAGAGGGAGGUUCCUAUAGAGUAGCCUGGGAGAGGGCGGGGCAGACCAGCAGGGCAGGCCGUGACAACCGUGUGAGGUGAUGGAGACAGCUAGUGUAGUAUCACGGUGUCCCAGCUCACGACAGGACAGCUGACCCUCCAACUUCCUUAUAUUUCCAUCCCAGGGGCGUUUCUGCAUGACGUAGCCAUUCUAUGCAAUUCAAGGUCCAGGCCUCGCCUCGCCCUGCCCCGCCCCUAGUGUGCCUCACCUCUUUCUUCUUCCUCUUCCCUUUGGACUUGCUCUCCUUCAGCUUCUUCGGCUUCUUCUUGGGAAGGCUCACGGGCUCUGCAGGAAAGAAGUCCUCAAAGCCUUCAAGGCCACCGUCUUCUUCUUCUGCAGGAGUUGGAAGGGAGAGGGGGUCACCUUCAAUUUCAGACAAAAACAGGGCCACAGAACCAAAGGCAGGCCAUGAGACCCCCUACACCACCACAUGCCAAAUCAUGACCAUGUGACCACAGUCCUAAGCCAAGUGACAACAGUCAUGUCUGGCUCUGGUAGACGGCACAAGUCACCUUCCCUCUUCCGUAAGAAGGGAACCCAGGGGUUGGGGACUUAGCUCAGCGGUAGAGCGCUUGCCUAGCAAGUGCAAGGCCCUGGGUUCGGUCCCCAGCUCCGAAAAAAAAAAAAAAAAGAAAGAAAGAAAAGAAAAGAAGGGAACCCAGUAAGCAAAAGCAAGUCUCUACCCUGGUGUCCUUAAUGACCUUGUGGGACGUCAACAUGGUAGCUGGCUGGCCCUAGGAGGGCUGGGGCCCAACAGAGAGGCCAAACUGAGUAAAGUCUAUCCUGGCCCCCAGAGGUUCAAGUAUAGCUCAGAUGUGACUCACGAAUAUAAGACAGUAAGAGACACAGGUUCCAUCAGCCAAAGAUUUAAUGGAAUCGGCUUGAUAAGGUCCCUGUUUUGUUUUUUUUCAAAGAUGGGGUUUCUCUGUAUCCCUGGCUGUCCUGGAACUUGCUCCUUAGACUCAGGGAGAUCUGCCUGCUUCUGCCUCCCAGGUACUGAGAUUAAAGGUAUGGGCCACCACUGCCUGGUGACAGGAUUCUCUUUUUUUUUUUUUUUGGAGCUGAGGACCGAACCCAGGGCCUUGCGCUUGCUAGGCAAGCGCUGUACCACUGAGCUAAAUCCCCAACCCAAGACUACACUGGAGCUGGAGAGCUGGCUCAGUGGUUAAGAGCACUGACUGUUCUUCCAGAGGUCCUGAGUUCAAUUCCCAGCAGCUACAUGGUGGCUCACAACCAUCUGUAAUGAGAUCUGAUGCACUCUUCUGGUGUGUCUAAAGACAGCUAUGGUGCAUUCAUAUGUAUGUAUGUGUGUAUACACACACACACACACACACACACACACACACAUAUAUAUAUAUAUAUAUAUAUAUAUUUUUUUUUUUACACUGCUUCCCCUGCCCACACACUCCCAACAUUUUUUUGGGGAAAAUCAAUACACACUCCCAACAGAGACAAGCAGGAUACCAAGCCGUGGGUUUUCCAGAGAGUCCUGAAGUCCCUCGUUGAUGCAGCCUAGCCAAAUUGGAGGAUUUACAGUCCAGUAAGAAAUCCUGUCUAAAGGUAGCAAAGCAGAGAGUGACAGAGAAGGCGUCGUGUCUUCCUCUGACCUCCACAUUUGUGUGUGCCCCCACACUCAGGCACACACACCACAGUUUUUAAAUUAAAUUCCAAGAGGAGUCGAGGUGGACUUAGGGCCUGGGGUCAUUUAAAGGGUGGCUAAUUAGCUCCAUGUCACCCCAAAAAGGGACUUCUGCUGUACUGGGGGGACCCAUACCCAUUGGGGAAAUCCAAGUUGAUGCAGUAUUCCCAUGCUCCAGACUUGCACGACCAGGACAUGGGAGCAAGAACCAAACCACCCAGAGUAGAGAGACAGCCACCCCAGAGGGGAAAAGGGGAGAGAGGGAGGGAGGGAGUGAAGGAGAAAGAGAGAGAGUGAGACUGACUCAGAGGGGGAAAGGGGGGAGAGAGAGAGACUGACUCAAAGGGGAAAAGGAGAGAGAGAGAGAGAGAGAGAGAGAGAGAGAGAGAGAGAGGGAGGGCUGGAGAGAUGGCUCAGCAAUUAAGAGCACUGACUGGGGGGGGGGGUGUUGGGGAUUUAGCUCAGUGGUAGAGCGCUUGCCUAGCAAGUACAAGGCCCUGGGUUCAGUCCCCAGCUCCAGAAAAAAAGAAAAAAAAAAGCACUGACUACUCUUCCAGAGGUCCUGAGUUCAAUUCCCAGCAGCCACAUGGUGGCUCACAACCAUCUGUAAUGGGAUGCUCUCUUCUGGAGUGUCUGAAGAGAACUACAGUGUACUAACAUAUAAAUAUAUAAAUAAGAGAGAGAGAGAGAGAGAGAGACCCAGAGACCCAGACAGAGAGACCCAGAGUGGAAAAGGAGGGGGGGGAGAGAAAGAGAGAGAGAGACCCCCAGAGGGGAAAAGGAGAGAGUGCCCCACCAAGAGAGGCAAAGGAGGCUUCCACUGUCUAGGGGUGGCCAGACAUUGGAGAAGAGCCUGUGCCUCACAUGCGUUCAUAGAGAGGCAUCCACCACCUUUCAGGUCCCAUACAAGUCUACCUGCCAGCCUUGAAUCUCUUGAAGGAGGAAGACAGGUUCCCACUGGUUUUCUGUGGCUCCCCAAACUCCAUGACUAACCAGUCACACAUAUCCUACCCUCAGAGGGCAUUUUGUGGCUUCAGUAGCUACAAUCCCCUUUCUGAACCCCACAGGGUCAAUCUGCACAUUUAGAACAAUCUGCACAUUUAGAACAUCUUACAGGGGCAAGGUACCCCUUGGCACCAGAACCCCAUCCAAGGAACCAGCAGCCCCACCUGCCAACACAGCGUCCCAGAAUCCCCAGGGCAGGGAUAGUUUGCAGCAAGGUCCCAGCCCCUCCCCUGUACAGAUGGAAACCCAGAGGAGCAGCCAUCCAAUACAGAGAGGAGAAGGCAGGCUCUAGGUAGGACUGGAAGCCGCUACAGGGAAUAUGAGUAUGUUCAAAUGCAGGUCCCUGGAAGACCACCGCAGUACUGAGUACCACAGUACCAAGUACUGUAGUACCAAGCUACAGAGAAGUACCACAGUAUUGAGUACAGUACCCAGAUACAGAGAAGUACCCAGAUACAGAGAAGUACCAUGGUACUAAGUACCACAAUACCCAGCCACAGAGAAGUACCACAGUAUUGAGUACAAUUCCCAGCUACAGAAAAGUACCACAGUACCAAGUACUGCAGUACUUAGCCACAGAGAAUUACCAUAGUACUGAGUACCACAGUAUCCAACUACAGAGAAUUACCAUAGUACUGAGUACCACAGUACCCAGCUACAGAGAAGUACCAUAGUACCAAGUACCACUGAGUAAGUAGCACAGGGCUCAUGUAGCAAGUACAGCUGUUGUGGUCUUGGCAGGACUCAAAAACACAAGGGAGUGGCCAUAGGGCUGUUCCUGACUUGGGUUUCCACAGGCCAGGGGGCCAAGCGGAAGCCAGGUGACAUUGGAAGUAACCCGCUGCUCCUCUGAGCUCUGAUGUACCAGAGGCAGGGAGAAUCCACAGAAGCCCUCAGUGCCCGGUGUCAUCUGGGUGUGGAGGAGUCUUGGCCACUGCAUGACAAGGAUGGCAGUGAGCCAGGCUAUGGUGACCAGUGGGAUACCCAUCCACGCCUGUGUACUCUCCCAGCACCACAGACACCCAACCCGACAGAAGCUCCCAUCCCCUGGGAGCGGUCCACACCGGUUAUGUAACAGGCUCCAGGCUGAUGCAAUCCCGAGGGGGCCCUUCUCCCUCCUGCCUGCUCUGGGCAGUCUUCUGUCUCCACCCAGCAGGGGAAUCCUCAGGUUUAGGAGGCCAACCCAGCACAAGUCCCCCACCUGACCAGCAGAAGAGACAGACGAGGAGGAGUGCACAGGUAGCUAGGAAUGUUCUGGAAGGAAGCCUGAGGUCCAUCGGUGGAUACUGAAGAGAGCAAGAAACAGCCCCCAAGCUAGCUGUAACUCAUCCAGAAAAAACACAGGCCUCACAUUCAUGUACAGAACCCCCCACACCUCCUCUACAAGGCAACCUCACAGCCCAAGGCUGCCUGCUUAAUAAAAAAAAAGGGGGGGGGGGCGUUGGGGAUUUAGCUCAGUGGUAGAGCGCUUGCCUAGCAAGUGCAAGGCCCUGGGUUCGGUCCCCAGCUCCGAAAAAAAGAAAAAAAAAAUUUCCCUCUGGGAAAUUUUCAGAGCUCGCCCAUGAGGAUAAGGACCCAGUUCUGACCAUGCCUCUCUCUCUCUCUAGCAAGUACUUCCUGUCCCCAUGCAGCUUCUGGUAGCUCCGAGGACAGACACCUGAGGUUUGGCCUGUGACACCAGGCCCACCCAUCAUGCCACACACCCAGUCUGCACUGACACUCGGCUCCCUCUUCUCACACGGACCAUCCUUCUCCUUAGCAACAGGUCCUGAGCCUGCACCGUCUGCCAGGGGCAGAUAGGAGACUCUGAGGACCUCCUCACCACCCCAUAUCUCAGUUCCACCACUGUCAGAGGGCACAGCAACCCCGGCCCCAGUGGUACACACCGGUAUGUGAGCCCUCCCCUCGCAUAGCCCUCUGGGCCUCGGACUGCCCAGAGCCCAAUAUUGCAACAGUGUGCCUUGUGUGCCAAGCUCAGGAUUCCCCCAACCCAAGACCCCUGAAAUGGCUAAGGCCAGCUCUGAAUCCAAGAAUUCAUGGAGACUGAGAGAUGAGCGUGGGGUACAAAUCAGGACAGAUCUCAGAAUCUACACCUAGGGUGAAGUCCUGCCAGGCUCCAGGCCCCACCUGGUCUGAGGAAGAACAAGCCUCCGGGAAGCUUUCCCAACAGGACAGUGGUAGAAGUUACGUCAUCUCGGCUCCGUGAAUGGGAGGGCUAGGGCGUCAGAGGAAGGAGCUGGGACAAGAGCUCUGUCACUAGAGUCAGAGGUGGGCAAACCAACCAUGGAUGGAGUCUGCCGCCCUUCCCAGAACCCAGGGAAUUGGGGCUCCUUCUGUUUCAACCCCUACAACCCAUCUCCAAGAAGGGAACAGGGCCACCUAGUGGUCAGGAAGGAAGAAGGCCAGAGAAGUACAAGGGCUUUUAACCCCCACCCCUUCCUCACCCAGCACCCUAAAGGCCUGCUGCCCACUGACUAGUCUUCAUCUUUGGAAUGGGCUUCACGCUGCAGCCUUCUUCCUGGCAAGCAAGAGACGCAGACUUGUGAACAAGAGGCCCCCCGAGGCUGGGUGCAUUCCCGUGAUGCACAAAGAACCCAGGAGGGGUCACGGGGUGGAAGAACUCUGGGGCCAGGGCUUCUGGACACCGAGAAGCCAAGACUAAAGAUCUCAUUAAUCUCUGGAGACCUCCCCACUGUGGCACAGGCCCUCGGCCGAUCCAGAGCAGUGCCACCACCCAAGAGGCAAUUAAUAAUUUAUUUAUGACAUUUAACAAAACCCAGACAUCACCUCACUGGCAUCUCAUAAAAGAAAGCGGCCAUCCUGAGAACGAGGGGGAGAAGAGACGCAGGAGAGGCUCUUAUCCUAAGUGACUGGGAGGGGGAGAGUGAGGACAGCCCAGGCAAGCAGGCAGAAGCCCCCAGUCAGGUGCAGGGCACGGUGGGUGGGAAGAGAGAGGCAAGGAAUAUAAGACAGAGAGAUCGAUACUGGAGGAACGGGAAGAGACAGGAUGAAAGAGGCAGAUGCAGGAGGACCUUUGUGUGUUUGAGCCUAGCCUGGGCUAUAGAAUGAGUUCCAGAACAGGUCUGAAUAGUGAGGCUUUUCUCACUCACUAUCAGAUAACACACACUGCUCAGGACCCGGUCCAGGAAAUCUGUGUUGAGUAGGGGUGGGGGGGUAGAUGGUAGAAAGUCGAAUGGGAGUGGAGAGAUGGACAGAAACCGGUGGAUGGGGAAUGGAUGGGGACAAACGAAGGAUGACUGGGCAGAUGCAUGCAGGAAUGGUGGGUGUGUGGAUGGAGAGUUUGUGAGUGGAUGGAUGGUUGUGGGGUGGAUGGACAGAUGCAUGGAGCUUGUGAAUGGAUAGGAUGGUGGGAUGGAUGGACAGACAGAUGAAUGCUGAGAGUUAGCUGGCAGAUGGAUGGGUGGAUGGAUAGAU